rnacentral:rRNA from 1 species
CCUACGGGUGGCAGCAGUGAGGAAUAUUGGUCAAUGGCCGGAAGGCUGAACCAGCCAAGCCGCGUGAAGGACGAAGGUGCCAAGCAUUGUAAACUUCUUUUGUCAAGGGACAAAAUCAGGCUCGAGAGCCUGACCGAGGGUACUUGAAGAAAAAGCAUCGGCUAACUCCGUGCCAGCAGCCGCGGUAAUACGGAGGAUGCGAGCGUUAUCCGGAUUUAUUGGGUUUAAAGGGUGCGUAGGCGGGCUGUUAAGUCAGCGGUAAAAGCCCGGGGCUCAACCCCGGCGAGCCGUUGAAACUGGCUGUCUUGAGAUGUCGAGAGGUAGGCGGAAUUCGUGGUGUAGCGGUGAAAUGCUUAGAUAUCACGAAGAACUCCGAUUGCGAAGGCAGCCUGCUGGACUGUAACUGACGCUGAUGCUCGAAAGUGUGGGUAUCAAACAGGAUUAGAUACCCCUGUAGUC